UAUGGCGAUGACGACUCGGAAAAUUCAAGCUCAACAGACCGUAUUGCAGGUCUCUCUCUCAAGACAAUGUGCCAUU